UACGUAGGGUGCGAGCGUGUCCGGAAUUAUUGGGCGUAAAGAGCUCGUAGGCGGUGUGUCACGUCGGCCGUGAAAACCUGGGGGCUUAACUCUGGGCGUGCGGUCGAUACGGGCAUCACUAGAGUUCGGCAGGGGAGACUGGAAUUCCUGGUGUAGCGGUGAAAUGCGCAGAUAUCAGGAGGAACACCGGUGGCGAAGGCGGGUCUCUGGGCCGAUACUGACGCUGAGGAGCGAAAGCAUGGGUAGCGAACAGG
rnacentral:rRNA from 1 species